rnacentral:lncRNA from 1 species
AUCAGCCUGCAUUCUGGGACUCAAUCCAGGUCCAACCGCCUUGAAACUAACGAGAAAAAGCCAAAAAUGAUGGAGGCCCUGUUUGCGGAGCUAGAAAAAUACCGCAGGUCAGACGAGAACCACAAAAGAAGGGUGGCGGAAAGAAACCGCCGAAGGCAAUCUAAGAAAGAGUAUAAAAUGGCAAGCCUCGCCCUACAACCAGCAACACCACCACCAACACCCAACCCAACAAGUGCUAGCGAUUGAAGGCAACCAAGCCUCGAACCAAAACCAUAACCACAACCAAAGCCAAAACCACAACCACAACCAAAAUCAAUACCACCAAAACCAACCCAACUUCGGCAGCGGCUAAAGAGGUGGCCAUGCAGGAAGAGGGAGAGGUCGAGGCAAUGGCCCUCCGAGGCCAAACAACCAAACCAGACAGCAAAGGCCGUUCUAUUGCACGUUCCAUGGUAAACAACUUGAUCAUGCAACUGAUUUCUGCCCGAUAGUCAAAGAAACCAACGAAAGACUAGCAGCAGAAAAGAAAGCAGCUCAAGCCGCAGCCCAAGCAGCAUCCCAGGCACCCAAGACCAUUCACCAUACCACCUUCUGGCCACAUCCUCCAUACUACCCAAAUUCAACCAACCUCACAACUUUCCAACCCGCCAUGACGUGGCAACCUUCACCACAAUUCCACCCUCAUAUCCCACCAACCUCGCAUAAUGCGAACUUCGCACCCUCACAGCCUCGCCACGAAAUACUACUAUCGCCACCAAAUCUACCCAACAAAAUUCCAAAAGUUGAGCCCAACCCAUCAAACAGCAAUCCCAAAGCCUUACCUACCUACGAC